CUACGGAGGAUCCGAGCGUUAUCCGGAUUUAUUGGGUUUAAAGGGUGCGCAGGCGGCCAUUUAAGUCAGCGGUUAAAUCGUGGGGCUCAACCCCAUUCUGCCGUUGAUACUGGGUGGCUUGAUUGCGGUCGAGGUUGGCGGAAUUCGUUGUGUAGCGGUGAAAUGCAUAGAUAUGACGAAGAACACCGAUUGCGUAGGCAGCUGACCAGACCGCAAAUGACGCUCAUGCACGAAAGUGCGGGGAUCGAACAGGAUUAGAUAACCUGGUAGUCCGCACAGUAAACGAUGAAUACUUGUUUUCGGCGAUAUAAUGUCGGAGGCAAAGCGAAAGCGAUAAGUAUUCCACCUGGGGAGUACGCCGGCAACGGUGAAACUCAAAGGAAUUGACGGGG
rnacentral:rRNA from 1 species